rnacentral:rRNA from 1 species
AUUGAACGCUGGCGGCAGGCCUAACACAUGCAAGUCGAACGAGUGGCGGACGGGUGAGUAGUGUCUGGGAAACUGCCUGAUGGAGGGGGAUAACUACUGGAAACGGUAGCUAAUACCGCAUACCAUCGGAUGUGCCCAGAUGGGAUUAGCUAGUAGGUGGGGUAAAGGCUUACCUAGGCGACGAUCCCUAGCUGGUCUGAGAGGUUGACCAGCCACAUUGGAACUGAGACACGGUCCAGAUUCCUACGGGAGCAAGAAGUGGGGAAUAUUGGACAUGGGGCGCAAGCCUGAUGCAGCCAUGCCGCGUGUAGGAAGAAGGCCUUCGGGUUGUAAAGUACUUUCAGCGGGGAGGCGUUACCCGCAGAAGAAGCACCGGCUAACUCCGUGCCAGCAGCCGCGGUAAUAC